AUUGAACGCUGGCGGCGUGCUUAACACAUGCAGGUCGAUCGGUAACAGGUGUAGCAAUACAUGCUGACGAGAGGCGGACGGGUGAGUAAUGCUUGGGAAUCUGCCUAUUAGUGGGGGACAACCCGGGGAAACUCGGGCUAAUACCGCAUACGCUCUACGGAGGAAAGCCGGGGACCGCAAGGCCUGGCGCUAAUAGAUGAGCCCAAGUCGGAUUAGCUAGUUGGUAGGUAACGGCCUACCAAGGCGACAAUCCGUAGCUGGUCUGAGAGGACGACCAGCCACACCGGAACUGAGACACGGUCCGGACUCCUACGGGAGGCAGCAGUGGGGAAUAUUGGACAACGGGGGCAACCCUGAUCCAGCGACGCCGCGUGGGUGAAGAAGGCCUGCGGGUUGUAAAGCCCUUUCGGUGGGGAAGAAAGUCUCGACCUAAUACGUCGGGACCUUGACGUAACCCACUAAAGAAGCACCGGCUAACUCUGUGCCAGCCGCCGC
rnacentral:rRNA from 1 species